GCCACGACGGGCGUUUACCCGCCCUUGCCAAUGACGUCUCACAACAGGAAGUAAACCGCUCACAAGAUACCGCGUUGAUGGAAAGCUUGAAAUGGCUUCGACGUUAUUGUUGCUAUAUUUUAACAAUGGUCUGAUGCAUGUGGGACAAGCAUAGCUCAGUGUCAUGGCAGAGAUGCCGGGACAGAGGUGUUUAUUGGGCCUUGGUGUACUGUUGAGUUGGCUUGUUCUUUUCCAUCUGCUUGUUAAUAUCUGGCUGCUGUGUGUGUUCACCAGCCUGCUGGUAGUACUGGGUGGCUGGCUGGGCUCACAGGCCAUCUUAGAAUCCAACAGUGUGAUUCACCUGGAAAGGUUUAUUACUCUGGAACAGAUUCCAUCCUCUGUGAACGAUGAGCAUUAUUUGGACCAAGAAAUCCACAAUUCAGUGAGGAAGAUUAUUAGGGACUUUGUUUCCUCAUGGUACUCAACUGUGUCGUCAGAGACUGGCUUUGAAAAGGAGAUUCACGAGGCCAUGAUUUCCAUGGGCAUGGAGCUGAAGAUGCGUGCAAAGCAUUUAGACAGAAAAAAACUAACCCAGAGGAUCUUGGAAAUGUUUGGCUGCCAUCUGCAGGACUACCUUCGAGCCAAGGAGCUGGUUGCGCAGAAGCAGGUGUCUCCAACUACAAAAGUAUUUGGUGAGAUGGAAAAGUUGUGGCAGGCAUAUUCCAGAGUUACCACACCUCACUGUGUGAUGACCAGUGAGGCAGUGGAAGUCAAUUACACAAGAGCACUGGUGGAUUUAUUGUUGCAUGUUUUGGUGCCCCCGCCUCAUUUGGAAACAUGCACUGGACGAUUUGUUGUUGGAGAACUCAUCACCUGCAAUGUCUUCCUCCCUCUUUUUUAUAAAAUGUCUGACCCUGACUGGUUAAAUCUUUUCAUGUUAGACAUUUUUGGUAGUUCUAAUGAACCAAAGGCAAUGGCAGUAGAAGAUAAUCCAGGUUUGUCAUUACCACUUCUCCAUGCCGAAUUAGCGGUCACUCGACCACAAGAGACCACAUUCCCUCACCAAAACAAUGGUGAGGUCCCUCAUCCAAAAUUUCAAUCACAAAUGGAAAACUAUUUGGAGACGGCCAUGCCUGAACUCUCUUUGUAUGAUAUGGCAGACUCAGACAAGUUUUGCUGUCAACAGAAUAACAUCGAAGAAGAGACAAGCCAGACCUUAAGAAAUUCUGCGAGUGGAAUGAACUUAAAUCCAUUUUAUCAAGAAAAUUAUUCUGACCUGGACUCUUCAUUAGCUAACUACAAACGGAGUUCCAGUGAUUCCUUGGCCAUGUUAGGAAAAGAGGACAGUUUAUAUGACCAACAAAGAGAAUGUGGACUUGAGUGCAGUAGUGACUUGGAGAGUCUUUGUUCCAAUCAAUUAGAUGGAUUCUGUCCUAGACCUUUGGUAAUUGCAGACACAUCGGACCAUCCAAAUGCCUCAUUGGAAAGAACAACACAGAACACUCCCAUCAGGAGCCUUCAGAGCAUAGAGAGUGACGGUAGCUCCUCUUCAGCAGGGAACACCAAUGAGCUGACUGUCAUGAGCCCAUUGCAUGGUUCUUCACCCUUGCCUUCUUUUAGUUUUGAGCCUCUAAGUAGCCCUGAUGGACCAAUUAUUAUCCAAAAUCUUCGCAUCACUGGGACGAUCACAGCUAAGGAGCACCGUGGCACUGGCUCACACCCUUAUACUCUUUACACCAUAAAGUAUGAGACAGCGAUGGGAUGUGAAAACCCUGGGCGCAUCCAUCCAUGCUCAGAAGAUGGAGACACAUUGCUCUCAGGUUUUGAAAGUCCAUCAUCCAUUCACCCAGUGGCGUAUCAUAUGGUGAACAGACGAUACAGUGAAUUUCUUAACCUACAAGCACGCGUGGAAGAGAGAACAGAGCUAAAAAAGCUCAUCAAAGGUGUUAAAGGUCCGAGGAAAAUAUUCCCAGAUAUGCCCUUUGGAAACAUGGACAGCGACAAGAUAGAGGCCAGGAAAGGAAUGCUGGAGACCUUUCUGAAGCAUCUUUGUGCUAUUCCUGAAAUAGCCAACAGUGAACAGAUGCAGGAAUUUCUGGCUCUGAAUACGGAUGCACGAAUUGCAUUUGUUAAGAAACCUUUUAUUGUUUCACGCAUUGACAAGAUUGUGGUGAAUGCAAUAGUGGAUACUCUCAAGACAGCAUUUCCUCGUUCUGAGCCUCAGAGCCCAACUGAGGAAAAUGACGGCGAAAUGGAGGGGGAGAAGCUUGUUAAUGAAAAAAAGAGCAACCUACAUAAUAUUUGUUCACUCGUCAUUAAGCAAGAGGAUUUUCUUCUCCACUUCUCCAGGUCACGUCUAAAAUUCUCUAGCAAAAGUACCCCAUUUAUAAAUGGCUCAGAUAUGAGACCACCGGUCUUGUUCAGCUUGGAACAAACUCAUACAGUGUUUAAUGGAAUCUCUUUGGAAGAUCUGCAAAAUUUUAUUCAUAAACAAGAGAAUCUGUCUAUCACGUCUAUGCCAAAUUCCAGUGAUCUUCUAAUUCUUACAAAAUAUUGCCAGCACGACCCUACCAUCGGAAAGCAAAGUCAAAGUCACGGUGGAGCUGAGAUGGCAUUGGCUGACGUGGCUUUGAACAUUAUGUGUCUGCUCAUGAGAGAGCAGUGGAGCUGGCUGUGCACUGAGAACAUUCAAAGGACCAUUCGGCUUCUGUUUGGGACCCUUAUUAACAGAUGGCUGGAUGUGAGUGUGGCCAAUCUGACAUGUACCAGAUAUUGGGUCCAUUACCUUCAGGUAAUCCAAGAGUCUGUAUGGCCAGGAGGAGUUCUGCCGACUUCCACUCAAACAGAACGAAGUCAGCAGCAGAAGGAUAACACCAAAAAACAAGCCUUGUAUUGUCUCAUGAAUCUUCUUCCAGAUUUAAUUACGGAUUUACUCAGCUCUGACAAAUACAAACUCAGUUGGCAGACUGUUCUUGAUUCCUUCCAAAACCCCUACAUUAACAGUCUGGGUGAGAUAUACAGUCAUGUUGCAGCCCUCUUGUUCAAGGUUGAUGCAGCUGUCCGUGCUGGUCUUACAUCAACAGCAUGCACAAGUGAAGCUUGCAAGUGAAAUGCAUCAUACAGAAAAGAGCUCAAUUCAAUACCAAUCAGUGACGUUGAUAUCGUGGGAAGUCGAAAGACUAACAUUUCAAUGACAUCAGCAAAAGGGAAAGCUCCACUAUCAGACAGGAAUACCCUCCAACCACUACGAGAUGUUUGCCCAAAUUCAGUUUUCCUCAAAAGCAUUCCUUCACUGGAUGAGGAAGAAACAGACACAGCAAAGGAAGAAGAACUUACCCAUUUUAUCAUUAAUGCAAAGCUACCUUGGGAAAUCCUCCGAAGAAAAGAUAUUUUCUUCUUGAGAGUGCUAACACGAGUGGUUAUGGUACCCGCCCAACUUCCUAGAAUAAGACUGAUAUAAUAAAAGUGACCACUCCAAAAACCUCCUGAAGUGGAGGAUUCGGAAAGUGAUGCCAGUCCUGUAAUUGUCCUGCAAGACCAUCAAAUGGAACAAGUGGUUCACCGUCACCAUGAAGAACCCCAAGACAUUCAAAACCAUCAACCUCAAGCCUUCUAUAGAACAAUUUCUUUAGAACAGUCCUAUAGAACUCGGGUCCGAAAGUUCUAUAGCAUUUCUACAUCCUAUAGAAUUUUGAUAUAACUUGGGUCAUAAAACUAUCACCUUUCUAUAGAAAUUUUCUAUAGAAUUUCUAUAGAAUGUUUCUAUGGAAAUUCUUUAGAAAUGUGAGAAAAUUUUUAGCAGGCAUGCUGGAGCCUAUCCCAGCUAUCUUCGGGCACAGGUGGGGAUACAUUCUGAACUGGUCGGCAGACAAUUUUAGGACACAAUUCUUAUUCACGUUCAUAGCUACAGCCAACUUCGUAUAACCUCCCCAUUCAAGGUAGGUUUUUUUGGAUGCGGGAGGAAACCAGAGUACUUGGAAAAAAGAACAUGCGAACUUGACACAUGGAACUUGAACCCCGGU